GACGAACGCUGGCGGCGUGCUUAACACAUGCAAGUCGAACGGAAAGGCCCUGCUUUUGUGGGGUGCUCGAGUGGCGAACGGGUGAGUAACACGUGAGUAACCUGCCCUUGACUUUGGGAUAACUUCAGGAAACUGGGGCUAAUACCGGAUAGGAGCUCCUGCUGCAUGGUGGGGGUUGGAAAGUUUCGGCGGUUGGGGAUGGACUCGCGGCUUAUCAGCUUGUUGGUGGGGUAGUGGCUUACCAAGGCUUUGACGGGUAGCCGGCCUGAGAGGGUGACCGGCCACAUUGGAACUGAGAUACGGCCCAGACUCCUACGGGAGGCAGCAGUGGGGAAUAUUGCACAAUGGGCGGAAGCCUGAUGCAGCAACGCCGCGUGCGGGAUGACGGCCUUCGGGUUGUAAACCGCUUUCGCCUGUGACGAAGCGUGAGUGACGGUAAUGGGUAAAGAAGCACCGGCUAACUACGUGCCAGCAGCCGCGGUGAUACGUAGGGUGCGAGCGUUGUCCGGAUUUAUUGGGCGUAAAGGGCUCGUAGGUGGUUGAUCGCGUCGGAAGUGUAAUCUUGGGGCUUAACCCUGAGCGUGCUUUCGAUACGGGUUGACUUGAGGAAGGUAGGGGAGAAUGGAAUUCCUGGUGGAGCGGUGGAAUGCGCAGAUAUCAGGAGGAACACCAGUGGCGAAGGCGGUUCUCUGGGCCUUUCCUGACGCUGAGGAGCGAAAGCGUGGGGAGCGAACAGGCUUAGAUACCCUGGUAGUCCACGCUGUAAACGGUGGGUACUAGGUGUGGGGUCCAUUCCACGGGUUCCGUGCCGUAGCUAACGCUUUAAGUACCCCGCCUGGGGAGUACGGCCGCAAGGCUAAAACUCAAAGGAAUUGACGGGGCCCCGCACAAGCGGCGGAGCAUGCGGAUUAAUUCGAUGCAACGCGUAGAACCUUACCUGGGUUUGACAUGGAUCGGGAGUGCUCAGAGAUGGGUGUGCCUCUUUUGGGGUCGGUUCACAGGUGGUGCAUGGCUGUCGUCAGCUAGUGUCGUGAGAUGUUGGGUUAAGUCCCGCAACGAGCGCAACCCUUGUUCACUGUUGCCAGCACGUUAUGGUGGGGACUCAGUGGAGACCGCCGGGGUCAACUCGGAGGAAGGUGGGGAUGACGUCAAGUCAUCAUGCCCCUUAUGUCCAGGGCUUCACGCAUGCUACAAUGGCUGGUACAGAGAGUGGCGAGCCUGUGAGGGUGAGCGAAUCUCGGAAAGCCGGUCUCAGUUCGGAUUGGGGUCUGCAACUCGACCUCAUGAAGUCGGAGUCGCUAGUAAUCGCAGAUCAGCAACGCUGCGGUGAAUACGUUCCCGGG
rnacentral:rRNA from 1 species